UUUCCGUAGGUGAACCUGCGGAAGGAUCAUUAUUGUAUAACCGAGGUGCGAGGGCUGUCGCUGACCCGAAAGGUCGUGCACGCCCGAGUGCCCUCACACACACAUCCAUCUCACCCCUAUGUGCACCACCGCGUGGGUCCCCCUUUGGCUUGUUCGGAGGGGGGCUUACGUUUUCACACAAACUUUGUAUGCAGUGUAGAAUGUAUUUUUUGUUUUUGCGAUCACGCAAUCAAUACAACUUUCAACAACGGAUCUCUUGGCUCUC
rnacentral:misc_RNA from 1 species